rnacentral:lncRNA from 1 species
GUAAAAAUAAAAAUAAAAUUCAGAAAUAGAUCCAUAGGACUUGACUAUAAAAAUAAGAUCUCCCAGUCUUAUAUCCAAACAUGCAGGAGACUAGUAUAUAAUCUAAGUAAUGUAAAAUAGAACUAGUCGACGAUUGUCCACACUAAUGCAAUGCACAAACUGAAGGAUAAACCAUCAAUUUCCAAGGACUUGUAGGGAAAUUAAAUUUUAUAGUUCAAGAGAAAUAUAUGCCCUCUUUUCUAUCAAUAAGAUGCUCAAUAUUUUGUGUAUAUGAUUUCUUGGGAUAAAAAUCAAAUCUUAAUUUGGCUAUUUUCAAACUAUUUGAUCGAUUAGGAGGCCUCUUAAGUCUUGAAGAGAAUCAAUGGCAUAAGAACUCGAGAUAUUAGAGUCUAAAUUGUCCUUAUCAUUGAAAAAAUGAAGCCCCUUUUCUCCUUUAUACAUCUUCUCUAUCCCUUGCUUCUGCUGCUUCUUCGGUUCAGCACUUCUUCUUAUCCUAAAAUAUUAUUCUUCAUGUCCUCUUCCUUCCCAGAAGCUAAAAAAUGAUAAUAGCACACUUACAACCAUAAUUCUUCCGCGCUGAAUAGACAUCCCCUGAAAAAAAGCUAAUUCUCCGCUUUCAGUACAUCUUUAUUUCACUGCCUCUGUAUAUCUCUCACCUACCCUGCUGUAGGACAAGCCUAUUACAAAUAGAAUUUAUCUCUUGUUUAGAAUAGGAUUUUUUGUCUUGUUAGAAUAUGAUUUUUUUUUUUUUUCCUUUUAGAAUUUUGAUUGAUUUAUUCAUUUAUAUUUAGGGAACUAAUUUGCCUAUACAAACAAAGGCUUUGCAUACUUUUUCAAGAACCAAUUCAUUACAAUGAAAUCAAUCUCUAUAGAUUUCGAUUUUUUC